rnacentral:misc_RNA from 1 species
GAAAUGCGAUAAGUAGUGUGAAUUGCAGAAUUCAGUGAAUCAUCGAAUCUUUGAACGCACAUUGCGCCCUUUGGUAUUCCUUAGGGCAUGCCUGUUCGAGCGUCAUUUAACCCCUCAAGCUCAGCUUGGUGUUGGGCGUCCUGUCCUCUGCCCCCCCGGGGGCGGGGACUCGCCUCAAAUCGAUUGGCGGCCGGUACAUUGGCUUCGAGCGCAGCAGAAACGCGAACUCGAGGCCCAGUGCGCUGGCUCCCACAAGCCACUCCAUCUAAUUUUGACCUCGGAUCAGGUAGGGAUACCCGCUGAACUUAA